rnacentral:misc_RNA from 1 species
GGAAGUAAAAGUUGUAACAAGGUUUCCGUAGGUGAACCUGCGGAAGGAUCAUUAUUGUAUAACCGAGGUGCGAGGGCUGUCGCUGACCCGAAAGGUCGUGCACGCCCGAGUGCCCUCACACACAUCCAUCUCACCCCUAUGUGCACCACCGCGUGGGUCCCCCUUUGGCUUGUUCGGAGGGGGGCUUACGUUUUCACACAAACUUUGUAUGCAGUGUAGAAUGUAUUUUUUGUUUUUGCGAUCACGCAAUCAAUACAACUUUCAACAGCGGAUCUCUUGGCUCUC